rnacentral:tRNA from 1 species
CAUUAAGAAGCUUAAGAGGAGAAGCGACAGCCUUUUAAGCUGUAGACUGGUGACCACAAAUCACCCUUAAUGA